rnacentral:rRNA from 1 species
CAGCCGUAAACUAUGCGCGUUAGGUGUAUCGGUGACCACGAGUCACCGAGGUGCCGAAGGGAAACCGUGAAACGUGCCGCCUGGGAAGUACGGUCGCAAGGCUGAAACUUAAAGGAAUUGGUGGGGGAGCACCACAACGGGUGGAGCCUGCGGUUUAAUUGGACUCAACGCCGGGAAGCUCACCGGAUAAGACAGCGGAAUGAUUGCCGGGCUGAAGACUCUGCAUGACUAGCUGAGAGGUGGUGCAUGGCGUAGACGUCU